rnacentral:tRNA from 1 species
GGUAAAAUGGCUGAGUAAAGCAUUAGACUGUAAAUCUAAGGACGGAGCAUGAAUGUUCCUUUUACCA